GACGAACGCUGGCGGCGUGCUUAACACAUGCAAGUCGAACGGAAAGGCCCUGCUUUUGUGGGGUUCUCGAGUGGCGAACGGGUGAGUAACACGUGAGUAACCUGCCCUUGACUUUGGGAUAACUUCAGGAAACUGGGGCUAAUACCGGAUAGGAGCUCCUGCUGCAUGGUGGGGGUUGGAAAGUUUCGGCGGUUGUGGAUGGACUCGCGGCUUAUCAGCUUGUUGGUGGGGUAGUGGCUUACCAAGGCUUUGACGGGUAGCCGGCCUGAGAGGGUGACCGGCCACAUUGGGACUGAGAUACGGCGCAGACUCCUACGGGAGGCAGCAGUGGGGAAUAUUGCACAAUGGGCGGAAGCCUGAUGCAGCAACGCCGCGUGCGGGAUGACGGCCUUCGGGUUGUAAACCGCUUUGGCCUGUGACGAAGCGUGAGUGACGGUAAUGGGUAAAGAAGCACCGGCUAACUACGUG
rnacentral:rRNA from 1 species